rnacentral:ncRNA from 1 species
UAAUUAGAUUUGGUUUAUUAAUAAAAGUAAGUAAAUUUUUUAUGAUUUUUUUAAAAAAAUCAUAAUUCAGAAAAUAAAAUUUAUUUAAUAAUUUAAAAUUAUUGAAAUUUACAGAAAAACUUAGCUAAUUUUGUGCCAGCAGCAGCGGUUAGACAAAAAAGAAAUUUUUUCUAUUAAUUAUUUUUAAUAUUAUUUUAAUUUAUUAUUAAUAUUAAUUAAAGAAGGUGAAAUUUUUUAAUUAAAUUAUUAUUAAUGUAAAAAAGAAAUUCGUUUAUAAACUAGGAUUAGAUACCCUAUUAUUAAUGAGCUUUAUAUUGUUAGUAUAUAAUAUAUAUGAAAACAAAAAAUUUUGGCGGUACUUUAAGCUUUUCAGAGGAAUUUGCUCUUUAAUGGAUAAAACACCAAAAUUUUACUAAAAUUUGUUAAAUUCAGUUUGUAUACCACUAUAAAAAUAAUAUUUUAUUAUUAUUAUUAAAAUUUUUUUUUUAAUUAAAAAUUAAAAAAAAUAAAUUAAGUCAUGGUGCAACAAAAAUUUUAGGAUGAAGUGAAUUACAUUUUUUUUAAAUAAAAAAAGUUAUUGAAUUAUUAAUGAAAAUUAAGGAUUUGAAAGUAAAAAUAUAAUAAAAUGAUAUUUUGAAUUUAGUUCUAAAGUAUGUACAUAUCGCCCGUCGCUCUUUUUUAAAGAUAAGUCGUAACAAAGUUAAAAUACUGGAAAGUGUUUU